UACGUAGGUGGCGAGCGUUGUCCGGAUUUAUUGGGCGUAAAGCGCCCGCAGGCGGCCUGGCAAGUUUCAGGUGAAAUCUCCCGGCUUAACUGGGAGGGGUCCUGGAAAACUGUCAGGCUAGAGUUCGGUAGGGGAGACUGGAAUUCCUGGUGUAGCGGUGAAAUGCGCAGAUAUCAGGAGGAACACCGGUGGCGAAGGCGGGUCUCUGGGCCGAUACUGACGCUGAGGAGCGAAAGCGUGGGGAGCGAACAGG
rnacentral:rRNA from 1 species